rnacentral:tRNA from 1 species
GACCGCGUAGCCCAGUUGGCAGAGCAUUGGGCUAGCAUUCCAAAGGUCGUAGGUUCGAAUCCCACCGCCGGUCA